GAGCAUUUUUUGUUUACCUCAGGUAAGUUCUGUUGCCUCUGGGGAAGGAAAAACCUCACCGGUAUUGAUUACUGGUGCAUCUGCAAAGCAUCCUUCAGCGCUAUUAAGAUCAUUCUUCUUUUCCCUUUGAAUGAUUUCAAGAGUGCUUCUGAUUGGGAGCUCAUGGAACGUAGCAGCUUCCAAGGUAUCUGGAUCUUUGAAAAGAAAAGAAAGAGGUGGAAAGGAGGUAGGAUUGUAGAUGGUGGUGAUUCACUCACCAGGGUGUAACACAGAUGCUUCCUACAUACCUGCUUGCAAAAUUCUGCAGUGGUAAGUAAAAUAAACAUCUGUUUUCUAAAAGGAAAUUGACAUCAGAAAAUUGUGGUGCUGUUAGAUUGAGUUGCUAGGUUCUUUGGAUAGAAUUAAGGAAAUUUAAACCACAUGAGUGUAUGAGAUCCAAAUUUUCCAUUAAAGUUGUAACUCUACUUCUUGCCUGUGUAAUUAGUUUAGAAAUCCAAUAUCCUACCUUUUCAUAAAUCUAACUCAACUACAACAAAAUUGAUUUUGUAAUGACUAUACCCCACGAGGACAUGAAUAAUACAUUCAUACAAUCCUUCUUGAUUAAAAUAUCCCAUGAAGUGCUAACAACCUGAUUUUAGAUUUCAUGACUGCAGAAAACCAAAAAAUGGAAGGAAAAAGAAAAGUUUCCCAUCAAUAAAACCUGCAAAGGGAUUGUGACUGUUAGGAAAAUGCUCAGGAAGUAUUUCCCUGAGGAAAGUAGUUAGAAAAAUGUGUUUUGAAAAAUGUAUUUUGUGUAUUAAGUUCCAAGUACAGCCGUCGAGUUAGAUGCAGACCUCUGGCUGUUGUCCAGAGGACUUAGGAAGAUGGGAAGUAUGGAUAGUCCUGUCCUAUACCCAGUGCUGAGCCUUUCUCCAAGGGACCUGUUUCUUUUCCUGGCACAUACAAAGAAAGAAGAGCAAGGAUCGCUGUUCAGAAAUCCUGUGUGGCAAUCACUGUGUUUUCUUGGCCACAAAAAAGCACUGAAGCCCAGAGCGCAAACUAAGAGCUCAACAAUAACAAAGUAGGAGAGCAUGAAAUUCGGCUAAUUAGAAUGAGCUGCACAUUACUUCACAGAGACAUUGUCACGGUAGGGAAACAGAGCAGGGUGCUGUUUAUCUUGAGUGGAAUAAGUAAACUGUGGCUCAAAGGCAGCAUUAGGAGGAGACUCUUCCCUGUCUUAAUAAUGUAUAAUGUGAAUAGCAUGAGAAUGUUUAAUUUCUUUGCUAUGUCAAUGAGUAUUUGUUAAUUAUAACACAAACUAAAAUUGUGGGGCUGUGCAAAAUGCGUCCAAUGCGGUGCAACUGCACAACACAGCAUCUGACAAGAAGACAGCAUCAGUCCUCUGUGAGUGGUCAGUUUCCUUUCACAUGGCAUAGAGCAGGAAAAGGGAAAGAACACCCAGCCUGGGGAGCAGGACCCCAAGGACCUCUUUAGGAAAGUGAGGAGAGGAAAGGAGCUACAUGUUUGAAGGAGAGCCUGUCUCUGCUUCCCCUCUGUAGGGAACAGGGAACUCUAAAGGGAAGGGUUUUGGAUGGUACCUGAGGCUGAAGCUGGCUCCCAGGUGUUCUCUCACAGCUCCUUGGGGCUGUUGUUAGUGUGGGUGCUGGAAAAGGCUGAAGUGAGUCCAGGGAUGCAUUUGGUUGGCUUUGUGAUGAUUGAAUGUGCGAGUCUUCCACUCACAGUGGUGGGAAGGAAGCUACAUGUGGUUGGCCUGGGUUAGUGCUAUGGUGGUAAUGGGUUGAUGAGUUGACUGGGUGAUCUUAGUGGUCUUUCCAACUGCAAUGAUUCUACGAUUCUUUGCCUUGCAUUGGGAACCAGACAGAGGCUGAGCACUCUGAGAGGACAUAUGUAAGCAUUCAUCAGGUAUGUUUUUUUAUUAUUUUUAUUUUUCAUUCUUAGUGGAAUCUGAAGUUUUGAAAUUUUCUGUGUUUUAUCUGAGCCUCUAAGAUACCUCACGACUUUAUGUACAUCUUAAUAGUUUUGCAUUUCAACUGGAUUGGUGCGUGUGUGAAAGCAAGCAGUAGCAAUUUAAAAUGUAACAGAUAAGGAUGUGUGAUUGCAACUGCAUCCCAAAGGUCACUAAGAAAUCUCGAUAAAGUAGAAGAAUAACAUUUCUGUUAAGGGUUGUUUUCCUGUCACAUUCAGUCUCCUUCUUUAGGCACAGACACUUGAGUGGUGCCAGCAGAUUUGUCACUAUAAGUAAUGCCUUCCUGCCUGUAUAGCACU
ensembl:lncRNA